AGCAAUGCCAUGCCACCCUGAAUGUGCCUGAUUUCUGAUCUCGGAAGCUAAGCAGGGUUGGGCCUGGUUAAUACUUGGAUGGGAGACCACCUAGGAAUACCAGGUGCUGUAGGUU
rnacentral:rRNA from 1 species